rnacentral:rRNA from 1 species
UACGUAGGGUGCGAGCGUUAAUCGGAAUUACUGGGCGUAAAGCGUUCGCAGGCGGUUUUGUAAGUCAGAGGUGAAAUCCCCGGGCUUAACCUGGGAACUGCCUUUGUGACUGCAAGGCUUGAGUGCGGCAGAGGGGGAUGGAAUUCCGCGUGUAGCAGUGAAAUGCGUAGAUAUGCGGAGGAACACCGAUGGCGAAGGCAAUCCCCUGGGCCUGCACUGACGCUCAUGCACGAAAGCGUGGGGAGCAAACAGG